rnacentral:rRNA from 1 species
GAGGAAUAUUGGGCAAUGCCCGAAAGGGUGACCCAGCAACGCCGCGUGGAGGAUGAAGGUCGUAAGAUUGUAAACUCCUGUUAGAGGGGAAGAAUAACUAAGUUUGGAGCUCAGUAUGACUGUACCCUCAGAGAAAGCCCCGGCUAACUACGUGCCAGCAGCCGCGGCAAUACGUAGGGGGCAAGCGUUGUCCGGAUUUACUGGGUGUAAAGGGUGCGCAGGCGGAAUGGAAAGUCAGUGGUGAAAUCCUACAGCUUAACUGUAGAACUGCCGUUGAUACUUUCAUUCUUGAGUUCGGGAGAGAGACGGAAUUCCAAGUGUAGGGGUGAAUUACGUGGAUAUCUGUAAGAACACCAGUUGCGAAGGCGGUCUCUUGGUCCGAUACUGACGCUGAGGCGCGAAAGC